AAUUUAAUGUGUUCAGAGAAGUUUGGUGGCAAACGAUCUCAAAGAGCAGUAAAGUUAUAACAACAAAGGAAAUCUUGAGAAAAUGACGCACUUUUCCCUUCAAGCUGCGGUCAAGACUGCCUUUUCAAUUUUCCUGCUAUUGCAGUUAUCAAAUGGCGACGUUAUUUCGAAUUUUUUUUCUGGCUACGACAAAGCAAUAAGACCCGGCUUUGGUAAGUAAAAAGUAAUGUUUCCUCGAAGGGAUUUUUUUUAAGGCGGGGGAA